GACGAACGCUGGCGGCGUGCUUAACACAUGCCAGUCGAACGGAAAGGCCCUGCUUUUGUGGGGUGCUCGAGUGGCGAACGGGUGAGUAACACGUGAGUAACCUGCCCUUGACUUUGGGAUAACUUCAGGAAACUGGGGCUAAUACCGGAUAGGAGCUCCUGCUGCAUGGUGGGGGUUGGAAAGUUUCGGCGGUUGGGGAUGGACUCGCGGCUUAUCAGCUUGUUGGUGGGGUAGUGGCUUACCAAGGCUUUGACGGGUAGCCGGCCUGAGAGGGUGACCGGCCACAUUGGGACUGAGAUACGGCCCAGACUCCUACGGGAGGCAGCAGUGGGGAAUAUUGCACAAUGGGCGGAAGCCUGAUGCAGCAACGCCGCGUGCGGGAUGACGGCCUUCGGGUUGUAAACCGCUUUCGCCUGUGACGAAGCGUGAGGGACGGUAAUGGGUAAAGAAGCACCGGCUAACUAAGU
rnacentral:rRNA from 1 species